rnacentral:rRNA from 1 species
GACGAACGCUGGCGGCGUGCUUAACACAUGCAAGUCGUACGGUAAGGCCCUUUCGGGGGUACACGAGUGGCGAACGGGUGAGUAACACGUGAGUAACCUGCCCACAACUUUGGGAUAACGCUAGGAAACUGGUGCUAAUACUGGAUAUGUGCCCCUGCUGCAUGGUGGGGGUUGGAAAGCUCCGGCGGUUGUGGAUGGACUCGCGGCCUAUCAGCUUGUUGGUGGGGUAGUGGCCUACCAAGGCGGCGACGGGUAGCCGGCCUGAGAGGGCGACCGGCCACAUUGGGACUGAGAUACGGCCCAGACUCCUACGGGAGGCAGCAGUGGGGAAUAUUGCACAAUGGGCGCAAGCCUGAUGCAGCAACGCCGCGUGCAGGAUGACGGCCUUCGGGUUGUAAACCGCUUUCAGCAGGGACGAAGCUUUUUGUGACGGUACCUGCAGAAGAAGCACCGGCUAACUACGUG